rnacentral:rRNA from 1 species
AUCGAACGUUGGCGGCACGCCUUAUACAUGCAAGUCGAACGAGAAAGUACCUUCGGGUGCGAGUACAGUGGCGGACGGGUGAGUAACGCGUAGGUAUCUACCUUUAGGUGGGGGACAACUCGAGGAAACUCGAGCUAAUACCGCAUAAUAUCUAAGGAUUAAAGUGGGGGAUCUUCGGACCUCACGCCAAAAGAGGAGCCUGCGUUAGAUUAGUUUGUUGGUGGGGUAAUGGCCUACCAAGACUACGAUCUAUAGCUGGUCUGAGAGGACGAUCAGCCACACUGGAACUGAGACACGGUCCAG